rnacentral:rRNA from 1 species
CGUUUUAGUGGCGGACGGGUGAGUAACGCGUGGGUAACCUGCCCUGUACAGGGGGAUAACAGCUGGAAACGGCUGUUAAUACCGCAUAAGCGCACAGGAGCGCAUGCUCCGGUGUGAAAAACUCUGGUGGUACAGGAUGGACCCGCGUCUGAUUAGCUGGUUGGCGGGGUAACGGCCCACCAAGGCAACGAUCAGUAGCCGGCCUGAGAGGGUGAACGGCCACAUUGGGACUGAGACACGGCCCAAACUCCUACGGGAGGCAGCAG